rnacentral:lncRNA from 1 species
UUUUUUGUUUCUCAGAAACCAGUUCUAACAUUGUUUUAGCAUCGCAAGUAUGUACUUGAUAUCGGAGCUAGUCCUAAAUUAAAAUCUUUUUCAAGUUGAUGUACGCUAAUAUUUAAAUAUCUUCGAUUUUCUUUACUAGUCCAUUCAUCUACAGUUAUAGAAAAUUUUUGCCCGUUAUUCUUGCAGCAAGCUUUGAUACCAUUUCUUCUAAACUAGUCCUUUUCACAAAGUUAAGAAUACAGGUGUAGACACCGUAGUACUGCUACACUCAGGCCCCAGACAAUAUUU